CUUAGCAUAUCAAUAAGCGGAGGAAAAGAAACCAACAGGGAUUGCUUUAGUAACGGCGAGUGAAGCGGCAACAGCUCAAAUUUGAAAUCUGGCCCUCGGGUCCGAAUUGUAAUUUGUAGAGGAUGAUUUUGGUGCGGUAUCUUCCGAGUUCCUUGGAACAGGACGCCUUAGAGGGUGAGAGCCCCGUACGGUUGAAUGCCUAGCCUCUGUAAAUCUCCUUCGACGAGUCGAGUAGUUUGGGAAUGCUGCUCUAAAUGGGAGGUAAAUUUCUUCUAAAGCUAAAUAUUGGCCAGAGACCGAUAGCGCACAAGUAGAGUGAUCGAAAGAUGAAAAGCACUUUGAAAAGAGGGUUAAAUAGCACGUGAAAUUGUUGAAAGGGAAGGAUUUGUGACCAGACUUUUUCUGGGCGGAUCAUCCGGGGUUCUCUCCGGUGCACUUUGCCCAGUAAAGGCCAGCAUCGAUUUUCGGCGGCGGAUAAAAGCAGUGGGAAUGUGGCUCCCUACGGGGAGUGUUAUAGCCCAUUGUAUAAUACGCUGCUGGGGAUCGAGGUACGCGCUUCUGCAAGGAUGCUGGCGUAAUGGUUAUCAAUCACCCGUCUUGAAACACGGACCAAGGAGUCGAACAUUUAUGCGAGUGUUUGGGUGUUAAACCCUCACGCGUAAUGAAAGUGAACGGAGGUGAGAGCCCGUACGGGUGCAUCAUCGACCGAUCCUGAAGUUUUCGGAUGGAUUUGAGUAAGAGCAUAACUGUUCGGACCCGAAAGAUGGUGAACUAUGCGUGGAUAGGGUGAAGCCAGAGGAAACUCUGGUGGAGGCUCGCAGCGGUUCUGACGGCAAAUCCAUCGUCAUAU
rnacentral:rRNA from 1 species